UUCUAACUUCGAUAGAAGUGGAAAACCUUUUAUGUCGGGGUUUGUCAUAAAAGAUUGUAACGGAUAGCGGGACAAAAG
rnacentral:sRNA from 1 species